rnacentral:rRNA from 1 species
CAGUAACACGUGGCCAAACUGCCCUAUGGACUGGGAUAACCUCGGGAAACUGAGGCUAAUCCCGGAUAGUACAUCCAGCCUGGAACUGGCGGAUGUGUGAAACGUUCCGGCGCCAUAGGAUGUGGCUGCGGCCGAUUAGGUAGACGGUGGGGUGACGGCCCACCGUGCCGAUAAUCGGUACGGGUCAUGAGAGUGAGAGCCCGGAGACGGACUCUGAGACACGAGUCCGGGCCCUACGGGGCGCAGCAGGCGCGAAACCUUUACACUGCACGACAGUGCGAUAGGGGGACACCGAGUGCGAGGGCAUAGAGCCCUCGCUUUUCUGAACCUUAAGGUGGUUCAGGAACAAGGGCUGGGCAAGACCGGUGCCAGCCGCCGCGGUAACACCGGCAGCCCAAGUGAUGGCCGAUAUUAUUGGGCCUAAAGCGUCCGUAGCUGGCCGCGCAAGUUCGUCGGGAAAUCCACUCGCUUAACGAGUGGGCGUCCGGCGAAAACUGUGCGGCUUGGGACCGGAAGAUCCGAGGGGUACGUCUGGGGUAGGAGUGAAAUCCCGUAAUCCUGGACGGACCACCGAUGGCGAAAGCACCUCGGAAGGACGGAUCCGACAGUGAGGGACGAAAGCUAGGGUCUCGAACCGGAUUAGAUACCCGGGUAGUCCUAGCUGUAAACGAUGCUCGCUAGGUGUGGCACAGGCUACGAGCCUGUGCUGUGCCGUAGGAAGCCGUGAAGCGAGCCGCCUGGGAAGUACGU